GGUGGAGGGAAGCUCAUCAGUGGGGCUACAAGCUGAGUGCGUCACGUCACUCUGUAGCGCGUCCCCUGGGAAGGUCUGAGACUAGGGCCAAAGGCGGCCCUAACAGGGCCCUCCCUGAGCGCGGGGAGGUGAGUUCCCAGAGAGCGGGUCUCCGUGCGAGGGCAGACCGGGCAGGAGAAGCCGAGCUCUCCCGCCGCGGGGAGGGCCUGGUGGAUGCCCCCUUAGCCGGAGCUUGGAACAGACUCACGGCCGGCGCGCUGAGUUCAAUGGCUGAGGUGAGGCACCCGGGGGCCUCAUAACCCAAUUCAGACUACUCUCCCCCGCC
rnacentral:RNase_P_RNA from 1 species